UACGGAGGGUGCUAGCGUUGUUCGGAUUCACUGGGUAUAAAGGGUGCGCAGGCGGCCCGGUAAGUCAGGGGUGAAAUAUGACGGCUCAACCGUCAAACUGCCUCUGAAACUGCCGGGCUUGAGUCCGGGAGAGGAAGGUGGAAUUCCUGGUGUAGCGGUGAAAUGCGUAAAUAUCAGGAGGAACACCGGUGGCGAAGGCGGCCUUCUGGCCCGGUACUGACGCUCAUGCACGAAAGCCAGGGGAGCGAAC
rnacentral:rRNA from 1 species